rnacentral:rRNA from 1 species
GGACUACAGGGGUUUCUAAUCCUGUUCGCUCCCCACGCUUUCGCUCCUCAGCGUCAAUAUCGGCCCAGAGACCCGCCUUCGCCACCGGUGUUCCUCCUGAUAUCUGCGCAUUUCACCGCUACACCAGGAAUUCCAGUCUCCCCUACCGAAUUCUAGUCUGCCCGUAUCGGCUGCAGGCCCGGGGUUGAGCCCCAGGUUUUCACAGCCGACGUGACAGACCGCCUACGAGCUCUUUACGCCCAAUAAUUCCGGACAACGCUUGCACCCUACGUAUUACCGCGGCGGCUGGCAC